UGGGGAAUCUUGCGCAAUGGGCGAAAGCCUGACGCAGCGACGCCGCGUGAGGGAAGAAGGCCUUCGGGUUGUAAACCUCUUUCAGGAGGGACGAAGCUACUCGGGUGAAUAGCCCAGAGGGUGACGGUACCUCCAGAAGAAGCCCCGGCUAACUACGUG
rnacentral:rRNA from 1 species